GUUUAGCUGCAUUUCGACGCUGAUUGGGUACGGGUUGUCGUUCUCGUCCCGAGCGGUCCAGAUUCUGAGCGUGUCGUCGGAAUAUUUGAUGCCACCGACGUUCUGAAUUUCACCUUUUGCUUUUGGGAGGUGUAGGUGGAUUUGAUAACGGUGAAGAUGUGCCGUCUUGGGACCAGAUGGAGAUGCUGCAGUAGUUUGCCAUCACAAACGUGAGGGUUGAAAUUCUGACGAUCUUUUAUCAUGAAGGACGCGGCCGGAGUUGGCCGGAAUGAACGCGGCGAUUGGCAUAGUAGUCAGGCAAAUCACCCUGGACCAUUUGAACGCGCGGACGCUGCUUGGGAGGUUUUACAAAAAGAAACGUCCCUUUGACGCUGGCCGUCAUGUCCAUCAUCAUGUGAGCGUGCAAUCUGCUGAAUGGAACCUCCAUGUUUGUGUUGCCUUCGGAUCGGUCUCGUGAAGCGACUGACUCCAUCGUCGAUCUCAUCAGCGUCCCUCCAGUCAGUUAGCGUCCACUCGGUCCACUUGGUUUGUUGCGAUCCGCACGAUAUGGAGAGACGAAGACAAAUCGCCAUAAAUGCCCUUGCUUAGCGAGCGGCUGUUCAAGUCCACUCUCGCCAGGACCUGCUCCCCAAGUCGUUUCCACAGGAAACCGGCAAGCAUCACCACCACUCACACCAUCAUCACCACAAAACUAAAAGCGCGGGUGAAUUCCAAAUGAAGAUGAUUCCACCGGCGAUUCUGCUGCUGGCACCCUCCAAAUCCGAUCUGACGACGACGAAGUCGAUUCCGACCACGAGUAGCAGCAGCAGCACUUAGAAGCAACUUGGAAGCGAGCUGGGUUUGGACGGAACUACUUAGUAUAGGGUGGUGCCACUGCGGCUACGGGAAGAUGACCUAGAUCAAUCCAGUUCUCAAACUAACAGUUUUCAAGAAAGAUUGGUCGAUGGAACUUCCGGCAGGGUCAACUAAAAAAUAAACUUAA